ACUCCGCAGUUAAGCGUG
rnacentral:snRNA from 1 species